CACCAUCUCUUUAGCCCAGAGCAGAAGACCUUCUACAGACUUCUCCUCAAGACUUCGACCGGACAGGUCCUCUCCUCCACUUCGGUGGGAGAGGACAUCUCCUCCCCACUUUGGUGGGAGAGGGGCACCUCCAGACUCCACACUCUGCACUCUACUCGACCCGACGUCGUCUCUGCACCACCUGAGGUGGAAAUCAUAUAGUUUUACUCUGAUCCGUACUCCAACGGUAAAGCACAACCUGUCAUGGUACAAAAUAAAUAAUAGACUCCAUGAUCGCCCACGGGUGAUAAAGGGGACAAAAAAUGACGUUUGUAUUUAGCCUUCUGUCAUAAAUAAACGGGUUGACAUACCCAAAUAGAUUUUUUCCCUCUUUUUUAUACCUGACCUCCACCACUGAAGACAACUUUACAACACCAGGUAAGCCCCAGACCCCGCGAGCCUGAGAGACAUCAAUAAAGAUAAAUACCUUCUCUUUUGUGUUCAAAGAGUAUGUGUAUCACAUAAAAAAUAAAUAAAUAAAUAAAUAAAUAAAUAAAUAGACCUAUAAAAAACUUAGGCCUGAAAUUGUCAUGAACUUAUAGAAAGGUUAUCUUAUGUGGUUUUUAUUCUGUAAUAAAUAAACAUACUGUAGUUGGGUGAUAUCUACUAUGGGUUUAUCUUGUGUGCUCUUUUUAAAAGUCCUAACUGAGUGUAUCUAAAUAGUGAUGUUUAGUGAACCUCAAUAGGCUCCGUGCACGUAACUAAGGAGUUCUACUUCCGCCGCCUUGAGUGUGAGGCCGACCAGAUCCGGUUUGCGACUUCUAUAGCAGCGACACAGCAGAUUUUGAUUGCGGAAGAUGGCAUAUUUCACCCGUUGUCUAAGGUCUCCCGAAAAUCGACGUUAACGACAUAUACGGGAUUGUCGACCAGUGUUCACCUGCCCCCGGUUGCAAGCGUGAAAAAGGAUUUCGAUUGUACAUUUCAAGUUACAUCCACAACUUCGAAGGUGGGUCUGAAGGACUCCAUCCCUGUUGAGCUGGCCCAUCACAGCUGUACAUGUGUAGCUGGAUCAGUGCUCUGUAACCAUUGUGUGGCUCUACUUUUCCAGUCUGCACAUUAUUCUAACAACAGUGGCACAAGCCAAGAACCUCGGGUGUUAAACCAGGUCCCGUCGAGAAGAUGGCUGUGAUGUCUGCCAAACCAUGUGAUGUGAUGCAGAAAAUAAGA